GCGUGAGUGAUGAAGGCCUUCGGGUUGUAAAGCUCUUUCGCACGCGACGAUGAUGACGGUAGCGUGAGAAGAAGCCCCGGCUAACUUCGUGCCAGCAGCCGCGGUAAUACGAAGGGGGCUAGCGUUGUUCGGAAUUACUGGGCGUAAAGGGCGCGUAGGCGGUGCCUCAAGUCAGGCGUGAAAGCCCCGGGCUCAACCUGGGAACCGCGCUUGAGACUGGAGUACUAGAGUUCGGGAGAGGAUGGUGGAAUUCCCAGUGUAGAGGUGAAAUUCGU
rnacentral:rRNA from 1 species